AGAGUUUGAUCAUGGCUCAGGAUGAACGCUAGCGGCAGGCUUAACACAUGCAAGUCGAGGGGUAGGAGCAGCUUGCUGCUUUGAGACCGGCGCACGGGUGCGUAACGCGUAUACAAUCUACCUUUUACAGAGGGAUAGCCCAGAGAAAUUUGGAUUAAUACCUCAUAGUAUUUUCGAAUCGCAUGAUUUGAUUAUUAAAGUUCCAACGGUAAAAGAUGAGUAUGCGUCCCAUUAGCUAGAUGGUAAGGUAACGGCUUACCAUGGCUACGAUGGGUAGGGGUCCUGAGAGGGAGAUCCCCCACACUGGUACUGAGACACGGACCAGACUCCUACGGGAGGCAGCAGUGAGGAAUAUUGGACAAUGGGCGCAAGCCUGAUCCAGCCAUGCCGCGUGCAGGAAGAAGGUCCUAUGGAUUGUAAACUGCUUUUAUACAGGAAGAAACACCUCUACGUGUAGAGACUUAACGGUACUGUAUGAAUAAGGACCGGCUAACUCCGUGCCAGCAGCCGCGGUAAUACGGAGGGCCAAGCGUUAUUCGGAAUCCUUGGGUUUAAAGGGUCC
rnacentral:rRNA from 1 species